rnacentral:rRNA from 1 species
GACGAACGCUGGCGGCGUGCUUAACACAUGCAAGUCGAACGGUGAAGGGCCCAGCUUGCUGGUUCUGGAUGAGUGGCGAACGGGUGAGUAACACGUGAGUAACCUGCCCCCUUCUUCUGGAUAACCGCAUGACAGUGUGGCUAAUACGGGAUAUUCUGGGUCUGUCGCAUGGCGGGCCCGGGAAAGAUAUUGCUUCGGUGGGGGAUGGGCCGGCGGCCUAUCAGCUUGUUGGUGGGGUGAUGGCCUACCUAGGCGGUGACGGGUAGCCGGCCUGAGAGGGGGGACGGUGACACGGGGACUGGGAAACGUGCGAGAGUCAUACGGGAGGCAGCAGUGGGGAAGAUUGCAGAAUGGGCGCAAGCCUGAUGCAGCGACGCCGGGUGAAGGAAGGAGGCCUGCGGGUUGUAGGCCUCUUGGGCGAGUGAAGCAGGCCUGCUCCAUGUGGGUGGGUUGACGGUAGCUGGAUAAGAAGCGCCGGCUAACUACGUG